rnacentral:rRNA from 1 species
AUGGUCUUGGCCGUGAUAAUGGUCUUGGCCUUGGUGGUAGACUUGGCCGUGGUGAUGGACAUGGGUAAGGUCGUUAUAGAGGAAUGUUUGGAUACCUCGAUGGACCGUAUGGCGUCUUCCCAACCCAACAAACCAACAAUGAAGGAGGAUGGCGAAGAUGAGAUGGCGGGAUGGUGGGAGAAGGCUGCGAAGAAGCUUAGAGAUGAGGAUGCAGCCGCACUAAAGAAGAAGAAGGAAGAGGAGCUUGAGAAGAAGAGGAAGGAAAGAGAGAGAGCGACAAAUGCGAUGUGGUCUAGGGAGCAAGCAUUGGUGAGGAAAUGUGAGGAGGCACAGAAGAAGCGUCAAAAGGAUUUUGAAGAAAGAACCAUGAAACUUUGA